rnacentral:rRNA from 1 species
AGCGUACACGGUGGAUGCCCUGGCAGUCAGAGGCGAUGAAGGGCGUGCUAAUCUGCGAUAAGCGCCGGUAAGGUGAUAUGAACCGUUAUAACCGGCGAUACCCGAAUGGGGAAACCCAGUGUGAUUCGUCACACUAUCAUUAACUGAAUCCAUAGGUUAAUGAGGCGAACCGGGGGAACUGAAACAUCUAAGUACCCCGAGGAAAAGAAAUCAACCGAGAUUCCCCCAGUAGCGGCGAGCGAACGGGGAGGAGCCCAGAGCCUGAAUCAGCAUGUGUGUUAGUGGAAGCGUCUGGAAAGGUGCGCGAUACAGGGUGACAGCCCCGUACACAAAAGCGCAUGUGCUGUGAGCUCGAUGAGUAGGGCGGGACACGUGGUAUCCUGUCUGAAUAUGGGGGGACCAUCCUCCAAGGCUAAAUACUCCUGACUGACCGAUAGUGAACCAGUACCGUGAGGGAAAGGCGAAAAGAACCCCGGCGAGGGGAGUGAAAAAGAACCUGAAACCGUGUACGUACAAGCAGUGGGAGCACAGGUUUACCUGUGUGACUGCGUACCUUUUGUAUAAUGGGUCAGCGACUUAUAUUCUGUAGCAAGGUUAACCGUAUAGGGGAGCCGGAGGGAAACCGAGUCUUAACCGGGCGUUAAGUUGCAGGGUAUAGACCCGAAACCCGGUGAUCUAGCCAUGGGCAGGUUGAAGGUUGGGUAACACUAACUGGAGGACCGAACCGACUAAUGUUGAAAAAUUAGCGGAUGACCUGUGGCUGGGGGUGAAAGGCCAAUCAAACCGGGAGAUAGCUGGUUCUCCCCGAAAGCUAUUUAGGUAGCGCCUCGUGAAUUCAUCUCCGGGGGUAGAGCACUGUUUCGGCUAGGGGGCCAUCCCGGCUUACCAACCCGAUGCAAACUGCGAAUACCGGAGAAUGUUAUCACGGGAGACACACGGCGGGUGCUAACGUCCGUCGUGAAGAGGGAAACAACCCAGACCGCCAGCUAAGGUCCCAAAGUCAUGGUUAAGUGGGAAACGAUGUGGGAAGGCCCAGACAGCCAGGAUGUUGGCUUAGAAGCAGCCAUCAUUUAAAGAAAGCGUAAUAGCUCACUGGUCGAGUCGGCCUGCGCGGAAGAUGUAACGGGGCUAAACCAUGCACCGAAGCUGCGGCAGCGAACGUAUCACCCAAGACAACUUUACGGAGUUGACGAUUGACGGAGCGAAGCGACGUCAAAGCGUUCAUUAAAGUCGAGUUGGCUUAGGGAUACGUUCGUUGGGUAGGGGAGCGUUCUGUAAGCCUGUGAAGGUGUGUCGUGAGGCAUGCUGGAGGUAUCAGAAGUGCGAAUGCUGACAUAAGUAACGAUAAAGCGGGUGAAAAGCCCGCUCGCCGGAAGACCAAGGGUUCCUGUCCAACGUUAAUCGGGGCAGGGUGAGUCGACCCCUAAGGCGAGGCCGAAAGGCGUAGUCGAUGGGAAACGGGUUAAUAUUCCCGUACUUGGUGUUACUGCGAAGGGGGGACGGAGAAGGCUAUGUUGGCCGGGCGACGGUUGUCCCGGUUUAAGCGUGUAGGUGUGUGUUCCAGGUAAAUCCGGUUCACUUUAACACUGAGGCGUGACGACGAGGCACUACGGUGCUGAAGCAACAAAUGCCCUGCUUCCAGGAAAAGCCUCUAAGCAUCAGGUAACACGAAAUCGUACCCCAAACCGACACAGGUGGUCAGGUAGAGAAUACCAAGGCGCUUGAGAGAACUCGGGUGAAGGAACUAGGCAAAAUGGUGCCGUAACUUCGGGAGAAGGCACGCUGACACGUAGGUGAAGUGAUUUACUCAUGGAGCUGAAGUCAGUCGAAGAUACCAGCUGGCUGCAACUGUUUAUUAAAAACACAGCACUGUGCAAACACGAAAGUGGACGUAUACGGUGUGACGCCUGCCCGGUGCCGGAAGGUUAAUUGAUGGGGUCAGCGCAAGCGAAGCUCCUGAUCGAAGCCCCGGUAAACGGCGGCCGUAACUAUAACGGUCCUAAGGUAGCGAAAUUCCUUGUCGGGUAAGUUCCGACCUGCACGAAUGGCGUAAUGAUGGCCAGGCUGUCUCCACCCGAGACUCAGUGAAAUUGAACUCGCUGUGAAGAUGCAGUGUACCCGCGGCAAGACGGAAAGACCCCGUGAACCUUUACUAUAGCUUGACACUGAACAUUGAGCCUUGAUGUGUAGGAUAGGUGGGAGGCUUUGAAGUGUGGACGCCAGUCUGCAUGGAGCCGACCUUGAAAUACCACCCUUUAAUGUUUGAUGUUCUAACGUGGACCCGUAAUCCGGGUUGCGGACAGUGUCUGGUGGGUAGUUUGACUGGGGCGGUCUCCUCCUAAAGAGUAACGGAGGAGCACGAAGGUUGGCUAAUCCUGGUCGGACAUCAGGAGGUUAGUGCAAUGGCAUAAGCCAGCUUGACUGCGAGCGUGACGGCGCGAGCAGGUGCGAAAGCAGGUCAUAGUGAUCCGGUGGUUCUGAAUGGAAGGGCCAUCGCUCAACGGAUAAAAGGUACUCCGGGGAUAACAGGCUGAUACCGCCCAAGAGUUCAUAUCGACGGCGGUGUUUGGCACCUCGAUGUCGGCUCAUCACAUCCUGGGGCUGAAGUAGGUCCCAAGGGUAUGGCUGUUCGCCAUUUAAAGUGGUACGCGAGCUGGGUUUAGAACGUCGUGAGACAGUUCGGUCCCUAUCUGCCGUGGGCGCUGGAGAACUGAGGGGGGCUGCUCCUAGUACGAGAGGACCGGAGUGGACGCAUCACUGGUGUUCGGGUUGUCAUGCCAAUGGCACUGCCCGGUAGCUAAAUGCGGAAGAGAUAAGUGCUGAAAGCAUCUAAGCACGAAACUUGCCCCGAGAUGAGUUCU